AACUCCUUUGGGACAGAAACUGUGUUUUUGCCUUGUUUUGUAUCACCAGUGCUUAUAUGCCUGACAUCCAGUAAGAACUUAACUGACUAGUAUCUACCUGGUACCAACCCCUGGAGAAACAUGGAGAUCCUGCUUCUGAGAGUGCAUGAGAGAAGGGCAGCCUUUUUCCUACACACUCAGAGCAUGUAAUGGUAUCUUCUGUUUCUUGUCAACUUAUUGUCGGGCUCAUAAACACUCUAGUUAUUAGGUGAGCUGGAAGUGAAUGUGGGUAUGAGAUACCAACAGAUGAAGGUUCAGUCUCCUUGGGUACUUUCAAGUGAGGAAAAAGAAAUGCUGUAAAACUGAGUAAGAGAGCAUUUCUCUAGCUGUUCACCACCAUGUGACUGUGAAUAUGGAACACCUCGUUUCUUCUCCUAAUGGCAGAUGAGCCAGCCUUGAGGAGUGACCUAAGGGACUGAUCCCAGAAGUGAAGCUACUCAGCUCUUGAGAUGCUAUGUCCUACAAGCAAGGGAAUAACUUGUCCAUUAUAACUAUCUCACACCUAAUGAAUUUGAUGAGAAGCAAUCAUUAUGAAGAACCAUUAAUUGGGGAAAGGACCAACUUUACUAAAAUGGAACCUCCUAAGGAAAUUCAAUCCAUAAAUUUUGAAAAUGGAAAAUUGCACAGUUUGUCAAACACUGUAAAACAAGAACAAAUGAUGAAUUAGCCAGCAGUCAAUAAAAUGAUGGUCACUGGUUUUGAUUUAAACAAAGACGGCAAAGGAGACUCUAAAAUGCCUUGAGAUC
rnacentral:lncRNA from 1 species